rnacentral:sRNA from 1 species
CAGGUGACAUCUUAAGGCUGCGGAUACUGCGUACGGCGCGGGGCCUCAUCCACCCCGUGUCGCACACCGACCCGCCCGGUCGUCCCCCCGGGCGGGUC